AUAGAAUCAGCACCCAUCUUUGAGUCAGAGUUUGAGAUGCAAAUCCUUUACUGUAUAGCCUUGAUCAAAUGACUUCACCUCAUUGAAUUAAUCUUCUUCUGCAUAAAAUGGGGUCACCAUCUGCUUAUCUAAAUUGUUACAAAUGGGACAGUAUAUGUGCCAUUCCAGAUACCUAAUCACAGCUCAAUCGAUGCUGGUGUCUUUUUCCUUUUUCCUUCUGCAGAAAACAUGCUUUACAUAGGAUCUCUGAACUUAAAGAAUGGGAAGAAGAAAAAUCAUGUUUCCAGCUUGGGCUGCUGUUUCAUCUGUUGGACUUGCUUAAAACGUAUGGGUUUGUUUACCCUUCCUGCAGGCAUCCAACCUGGCCUUUUAUUCCUGCUUAAGUAGGACAUGCAGCCUGCUGGGGACCCGUGGCUCAAAUCCUCCAACUGCAGGACUGCCGGCCCUGGGACUCAUGAAUAAUGGAAGUACAGUAACCACUCCUUACAGCCCAGACGACUUUCCAGGAGCAGGCUGUACCCCGAAAGUAAACAAGGAACAAGGGGCAAGGAGACAGAGAGAGAUGGGGAAAUAUCCUCACCAACAGCCCUGCUGCAGUGAAAACUGGAGGAUCCCUGAAUGGAAAGGAAUGCUAUGCACACUUUUUGGAUACAGAAAGUGAGAUUCAGAGGGGUUAAACAGCUUUCCUGAAGCCACACAGCGAGAUUGUCGAUCUGAACUGAAGAUUGUUUGACAUCAAAGCUCAUUUCUUUCCCUAAAUGUCAGCAUUCUUUCCUGACUUAUUAAUUUGAUUUCUGUCCUCCCCUCAUGGAAGUUAAUUAAAGGAAUGCGAGAACCUUUUAGAAAAUC